rnacentral:snoRNA from 1 species
AUGCCAUGAUGUGGAAACUUAACCAGCAUACCUUUUAAUCUCUCCCAUGUUUCUUGUAGUGUUUCAGCUGGUUUCUGCUUGAAGUUCAAUAUCUCAUAAACUUGUUU